CCUCCCCACUGGGCCCUCUAUCUAGGGCACACAUGGGGGCUGCAGACCUGGCUCCCCUGGGUCCACCUAGAAAGCCACCCAGACCCCUAGCCCCAAAGCCUACAAAGCCCCCGAAAGCCCACAGGCCAGCCUGGCCCCACCACCACCCAAGGAUAUCCAUUUCUCUUGGGUUUGCAGUGGGUGAGUGUGUGUCUGGGAGAAAGCAGGGAAGCGGGGGAUAGGGAGAGCUCUGCCUCCAGGAGGACCUUGCAGCCUCAUGGAGCCAAGUGCCAGAGUAGCUGUCUCCAGACCUUCUCUCACCCUAGGACUUUCUGGCGCCUCCGCGAGAAACGCACACGGAACCCAUGUGUACUUCGCAGGAGAACGUAGCCGCGGCACACGCGCUUGGUAGAUUCCGUUUGACCCUCUCAGGGCAGCGCAAACGGAGAACCCGUGCCUCUCCCGAACAUGCGCUUGGCCAAGGGGUCCCACAGGG
rnacentral:lncRNA from 1 species